UAUUUCUUUCUUUAAGAUUUUGUAAUUCUCAUUGUAGAGAUCUUUAACGUCCUUGGUUAAGUUGAUUCCAAGGUAUUUGAUUGUUUUUGUAGCUAUUGUGAAUGGGAUUGAUCUUAGCAGUUCUUUCUCAGCCGUGGCAUUGCCUGUGUGUACAAAGGCUGUUGAUUUGUGUGCAUUGAUUUUAUAUCCUGCUACUUUUCCAAACUGUUUUAUGAGUUCCAAUAGUCUCUUAGUAGAGUUCUUUGGAUCUCCUAAAUAAAGAAUCAUAUCAUCUGCAAACAGUUUGAUUUCUUCCUUCCCAAUUUGUAUCCCUUUAAUUUCUUUUUCUUGUCUGAUGGCUCUGGCUAAAACUUCCAGAACUAUAUUGAAUAGCAGUGGUGAGAGUGGGCAUCCCUGUCUGGUACCAGAUCUCAGUGGAAAUGCUUCCAACUUUUCCCCAUUCAAUAGGAUGCUGGCUGUGGGUUUUUCAUAAAUUGCUUUGAUUGUAUUGAGGAUUGUUCCUUCUAUACCCAAUUUGCUUAGAGUAUUCAUCAUGAAAAGGUGUUGUAUUUUAUCGAAUGCUUUCUCUGCAUCUAUUGAGAUAAUCAUAUGGUUUUUCUUCUGCAGUCUGUUAAUGUGGUGUAUCACAUUGAUUGAUUUGCACACAUUGAACCAUCCCUGCAUACCAGGGAUAAAUCCCACUUGGUCUGGGUGGAUGAUUUUUCUGAUGUGUUGUUGCAUUCUAUUGGCGAGAAUUUUAUUGAGGAUUUUUGCGUCUAUGUUCAUCAGGGAUAUUGGUCUGUAAUUUUCUUUCAGUGCUGCAUUUAUUCGGGUUUAGGAAUUAAGGUUAUGCUGGCUUCAUAGAAAGAAUUUGGGAGGAUUCCCUCUUUUUCGAUUGUUCUGAAUAGUUUGAGAAGAAUUGGAGUCAGUUCUUCUUUAAAUGCCUGGUAGAAUUCAGCAGUGAAUCCAUCUGGUCCUGGGCUUUUCUUUGUUGGGAGGGCCUUUAUUAUUACUGAUUCAAUUUCUGUCUCGGUUAUGAGUCUGUCUAGGUUUUCUGUGUCUUCAUGUUUCAAUUUAGGUAGGUUGCAUGUGUCCAGGCAUCUAUCCAUUUCUGAUAGACUUCCCUGUUUGCUGGCAUACAAGUCCUUGUAGUAAUUUCUGAUGAUUCUUUUUAUUUCUGUGGUGUCUGUUGUUACGUUUCCUUUUUUCAUCUCUGAUUUUAUUGAUUUGGGUCUUUUCCUUUUUUAGUUUGUUGGGCCAAUGUUGUGUAUGUUUUGUUUAUUUUUUCAAAAAACCAGCUCUUCAUGUGGCUGAUUUUUUGUAAUUUUUUUUGGAUUCAAUCCUGUUGAUUUCUUCUCUGAUUUUAAUUAUUUCUCUUCUCCUCUUAGAUUUGGGUCUGGUUUGCUGCAGUUUUUCUAGAUCCUUGAGAUGCACUGAAAGUUCAUUUAUUUGGUUUAUGUCACAAUAGAACAUUUUUUAUAUAGUAUGUGCAUGCUAUCACUAUUACUGUCUUCAUAACUUAAUGCAGGGCAUUCAACCUCUACUUGUUGACUCAUCCAAAAGAAAUGAGUAUAAUAAACCACACUUUGUAUACAAAGUUAUUGUAGGUAUUUAGUAAACUUGUGUGCAUUUUAAAAACCUGAAAAACAUGAAAGAAUAAAAGUGUUACAAUGCCAUAGGGAAUAAUUCCAUGUAUUAUGUUCUAUAGAUAAGAUAGUCUCGUUCAUAUUUCUAGUUCACUCCCUACUUUCCCAAACCAACACUUCUUAUGUGUCCUUUUUCAGCAAAGAUUGAUAGAUGAUUGCUUGGGGGAAGCAACAUGGAGAGGAAUUUUUGGAAGCAAAUAGGGUGCCAUUUCAUGUAUAUCAAAACAUUGUGUUGUAAUCUUAUGUUUGUACAACCAAAAGAACAUUAGAAAAGAACUGUACAUAGUUGGCCAUGAUAGCAAUAUUGUGGUUAUGUCCAUAAUGUGGGGAUUAACUUUUAAGAUACUCAGUGACAGGUUUUCUAAUGAAAUAAUGUAAUUUGUGAAUCUUCAUUGUCUGUGGGUAUAUUGAGGGGUGUUGGAAAUUUUCUUAGGGUAUCAGUUGGUCUAGAUUGACUAUACUAAAUAUUGAACAGAAAUGAGAGGAUCAAACAAGGUGGAGACUGUAGUGGUCUGAGAAAAACUGUGUUUCCUCUAAAAGGGACAGCCAAUUCUCAGUUCCAGUUCAGGGUACCUGGAUGUGAAUGUGGGACCACAGACAAAAGAUUGUCUAUUUUUUUUACAUUGCCUGAUUUUUGAGGAUUUUGCCAUAAAUACUAAUAUUGUUAUGAAAACUAACGUCCUUUUAAAGUUGUCACCCAAUUCACAAGUUUAUUUUAUUUAAAGAUUUGUUUUAUUUAUUUGAAAGACAUAGUUAUAGAAAGAGGUAGAGAGAGAGAGGUCUUCCAUUCGCUGGUUCACUCCCCUAAUGGCUACAAUGGCUGGAGCUGGGCCGAUCCAAAGCCAGGAGCUAGGAGCUUCUUCCAGGUCUCUCAUGAUGGGUGAAGGGGCCCAAGGAAUUAGGCCAUCCUCUGCUGCUUUCCCAGGUGUAUUAGCAGGGAGCUGGAUUGGAAGUGGAGCAGCCAGGAUUCAAACUGAUACCCAUAUGGGAUGCCAGCACUAUAGGCAGGGGCUUUAACCUGCUGUGUCACAGCACUGGUCCCUCACAAGUUUAAAUAAAAUGUGAUCUGGCUAUCUAAAAUAGAUCAAAUUCAGCAUGCAGCUGCAAAUUUACAACUGUUUGGAGUUGUUUGAAUACCUUGUUCCUUUUCAUCCCAUUCCACUGAGAUUUUCCUCUUAGUUCCACAGAAUCUCUGGAAAUGCAUUCAUUUUAAGUAAUUACUAUAUUUUAGGUAUAUAUACAUGCACCAAAAAAAAGCUGAUUGUACUGUGUAUUAGUACAUCUGCUGUUUGAAAUAUAUUUUGGGGCUUCUCAUCCCUGCUUUCAUGCAUUUGAAAUUUCAGGCUGAUAAGGGAAGUUGUGUCCUAUCCAGCAUGGAGGGUGGCGGUGCAGAUGGAGUAUGAGGAGGUGGGGAUCCACAAGCAGAACAAGAAAGUCUGAGGAAUCAGUUCCUCUGUGGGCUUAUUUACAUUGACACAUGCCAUCUGAUGAUGCACAGCAGGCAUAGAGAAGGUUUUAAUGUACCAGAUAGUGUCCAAAGUAACCACACUUUUGGGCUAUUCCACAAGGCCAUUUCCAUGGAGCCAGAGAAAAGAGAUCUCCUUGGUUUAUAAGAAUACUCCACUUCCUUUGCCACAGUGAUAAUUCCUCCAUCCAGCUCUGCAGCCUUGCAGAAACACCUUUUACUAUGUCUAGGAACCAGGAUAUCCAAAGGUAUCAGCUAGAUGCCCCAUCCCAGUUUUACUUCUGCAGUUUGGGGUAGGGGAAAUUUUCCUGGGCUCCCAAACCCCAACUGGGGAGAAAUGGUAGGCAGGAAUAGAGUAGAGCAGUGUCUGUAGGUUCAGAAGCUUUCACAGCUGAUCUCCAGAACCCAUAGUCUAUUCCCUUUUAUCUUAAGCAAAUCUCAGUCAUCUCUAUUUAACAAACACGAAACAACAAUGUAGUUUUGGUAAAUUGUUGUUUCUGAUAUACAUUCAAUCUUAUACAGAGCAGCUUGGUCCUGCAGAGAAUGGCCCACUAUUUGACUAGGUUAUUUUUUAAAAAAUUUUAUUUAAAGUAUACACAUUCCAUACAUUUCAUAUAUACAGAUUUAGAAAGAUAGUGAUUCUUCCCACUCUAUCCUCCCUCCUGCCCACUCUACUACCCUUCUUCCUCUCUCUCCUAUUCUCACUUCUAAUUUUUACAAAUAUCUGUUAUCAGUUUACUUUCACUAAGUAUAAUGGUUUCCAGUUGCAUCAAUUUUGUUGCAAAAGACAGGAUUUCAUUUUUAACUGCUAAGUAGUAUUCCAUAGUGUAUAUAUACCAUACCAUCAUUUCAGCUUAUUUACUAGGUUGUACUAGAUUAUUGCCUCCUGGAUAUUCAGAGCUUGGUUAAAAGACAUCUUCAAACUCUUUUCCAAGGUAUUGCAUGAGGUGUCCUUUCCCCACCCAUACCCACACCCAAAUUAGCAAAGAUUGAGCAAAGUCCAUUUUUAGGGCAAGACUCCCCCAGGAUGAGUAUAGUUAACUGUGCUGCAAGAUACUGCCCCUAUUGAGCACAAGUCCCCUGCACCCUGGGUUCACCCUUCUUACAAUCACUUUCCAUAGUUUCCCUCAACACCUGUGUAUUUACAUGCACCUGAAGUCCUACCCUGUGAGAGGAGACAUAAAGAGAAUGCCAACAACCAGCCUCUAAGUGGUAAUAAUUAGGUUUUGAAUGUGAAGCCAGCAUACUGACUUAUGGUCCAGUGGUCCAGGCACCAUAAGGAGAUCAGACCCAGCAGGCUGACUACACCUCUGUCCUGACUCUGUUUCAGUGCAGGUCAUAGCCCAGUGGUGACAUAAGCUCAAGGAAUGAUGGUCAAUACAUAGGGCAUGACCCUCUGCCCUGAUGAGACCAUGAUGACACUACUACUCCACCGUGGGCAAUAAUGGAGACCAGGAGGGACUUCAUAGCCAAUGUUAGACAGUUACUAGUGUUAGGUUGGACUUUAAGGAACCACAUUUUCCUGAGACAGCUGAGUGUUGUCUCUCUUUCUGUGGGUUUAAGGUACCCUUACCUCCUGGAACCCAUGUUCAUAGGUCUCAAAUGUUCUGAUCUCUCUGCUUCUGCCUUUCUUCCUUUUCAGAUGUAAUUCCUCCCAUGGUCUUAGUGAUUGUAUUGAGAGGAGAUGGAAUGGUCAAAAUAGUGGUCUUUGUUACCUCAGAACUGCAGCUGCUCUACCAAGACAAAGAGGUUUUCCAGGAGUGUGGCAGCGGGACAGCAGCAGCCUCUACCUCACCUAGUUAACCACCUGCAAAUGCAGAAGCUGCAGUGCAUUUCUUCCCCAGGUGCCUUAAUGCAGUAAGCAGCAGAUACAGGAGGCACACACUUUCCGGGGAGCCACAUUGGGUGCAGGCCUCCUCUCUCUGGGAACCCCUGCCUGGCCUUCCUGAAGCAAAGGCCACCUAGGAGUUCAAGGCAGUUUGGACCUGUAUGUUCUUGGGCAGUGGGAAUGCUCCUGGGCACUGAGAAAAGAGUGCAAGUUGCACCAGCAUGACUGAAACAGGGGUCACUAUGUAACAGAGGUCACUGUGUUUGGCAAGGCACUUAUUCUGGACCCUGCUUCAGGAAUUGGACUCCUUUGUGCUGGAAGUUCUGAUGGAAAAAGGAAACUGCAGCUCAUGGAAAUUUCUCAUGAACAGUGUAAAUAGUUUCAAAAUUAUCAAAGGAAACUGAACCAAACUACAUUUUAAACUUCUGUGUAUAAUUGAAUUUAUUUGGACAAUGUACAGGUAAUAUGUUAAUGUUACUUAUUAUGUAAUGUAAGUAAUAUAUCAUGCUUGUAUUUCUAUAAAUAUAUAGAAAUAUAUACAUAUUCAAGAAUAUAUUUGGAAGAACUUGUAUGAGAAGACUGUAUGCUAGGAAUAAAAGUAUUAUGUGUGUAAGAGCACUGAUGAGAAGAGUAAAUGAUAUAACCUACCUAAAUAUCCAGCACAGUGCUUCAUAUCAAGCAUAAGCCUUCCGAUAUGUUAACUAUUGUUGUCCUAUCAUAUGUCCUAUUGACAUUACCAUAAACUAUGGCACAUAUGGUAUAAUAGAAUGAGAUCUAACUAGGAGUCUAACCAGGAUUCUUCAGGAGAGACUCACUGAAAUGUUUACUAAGGAAAUGAUGCACUAUCUAUAUCUAUAUUGGCAUCACAGAAAUCCUGGGGUGAUGCAUGUGUGUUGGAGUAUUGGAUAGGGUUUUGUGAGCCAAUGUCAUCUAUGAACAGUCUUUAAACCUGGGUAAAGGGUAUGAGAUUCAUCUUAGGAUGCUCUGUACCUUUCCAUGAUAGACAUGUUAUAAAAUUAGAAGUUCUAGAUCAAGAUUGCAAAUUCAAAUUCUGACAUGGCCAGGUAGGUAAGAAAAUUGAGAGGUGGGGACUGUCGCCAAUUGUGGAAGACUCUUUUCAGAAAGGGAAAAAAGGGAAAGGACAGGACACAUGCAGCUCCAUGUUAGUGUUGGUGGCUGGGGAUGUUGGGCCAGAAAUUGCCAAUUUUUCAUUUUUUCAAGAUUGACCAAAAUCGUAAUGUUUAUAUGAAUUCUGUAGUUAUUUAAUCAUAGGAAAACUAACUGAAAUAUCUUUCGUCAAAAAAUGAGCUGUCAUGUUUAAACAUUCUUACUUGCAUAAUGUAGAUGUGUUGAAUUAUGUGCCACUCUAAAAUUUUAUACAAUGAAAGGAAAAAGUGUACUGGCUGUCUAUACAAGGUUUGUAGGAAACACACAUGCUGAAACUUACAAUUUACCAUCUUCAGUAAGAACCAGUUUGAAGUAAUUUUCAUUGUCUGGAAAAAGCAUUGUCUGGUGAAAGCAUUUAUAGGCUAAUCAUUAUAGUCUACCAGUCUUCUGUCCUUCUUAUCCUCGUUAUAAGUCCUGCUCCUGUAUGUAUAUUGCUCUUUCACCCUUACCUUCCCAGUUUUCAUAUCAAAGUUAUGAGCAUCAGUGUCUAAGAUGUCACCUGUGGCUGGGACCAGAAUCCUGACAGUAAAGAAUAAGACAACCCCUGAGCUGAUUUGUCUUUCUUGUGUAUGUGGUUGUUCUAAGUUCUUAGUAGUAAGCAGGUUCCUGACAGAGGCUGAACAAACAUUAUGCCUCAGGUGAACGGAUAUCAGGCUGUGAAGGGCAGUGCAUCCCUGGGCACACACUGCUAGGUUUCUCCCUUAACUUUAGGUCCCUGCCUCCAAUGGGCUGUCCAGGUAUUCAGAGUCACCUGAAGAACUACCUUUUUUUUCUAGUGGAAAAAAGAUUUUUGAAAAUAGACUAUGUAUAUUUGAUUCCCCCUGAUGGACUUUGAACACAUUCAGACAGCUGACACAUGUCUCAUGCAUCUCUCUUCUGACAUGUAGUCCUCUGUAUUCACAAGUGUAUGUGUUAUACUAAAAAAAAAAAUCUUAGACUUGUUCUCCAAUAUUGAUUAUAAAUUUAUCUGUAGUGGAUAUUGUCCAGUGAUCUUUGUGUUACUGAUAUAUGGUGAAUGUUUACAAUGAAAUCUGUGAGAUCUCUGUGUCUGUCUAUGGUCAUGUAUGAAUGUAUGUUUUAUAUGCAUGUGCUUUUCCAUGUCUGGAUGAUAGAAGUAAGAAAUUUAUAAAAUCAGUUGGAGGAUUUUUUUUUUUUUUUUGACAGGCAGAGUGGACAGUGAGAGACAGAGGGAAAGGUCUUCUUUUGCCGUUGGUUCACCCUUCAAUGGCUGGCGCGCUACAGCCGGCGCACCGCGCUGAUCCGAUGGCAGGAGCCAGGUACUUAUCCUGGUCUCCCAUGGGGUGCAGGGCCCAAGUACUUGGACCAUCCUCCACUGCACUCCCUGGCCACAGCGGAGAACUGGCCUGGAAGAGGGGCAAGCGGGACAGAAUCCAGCGCCCCGAUCGGGACUAGAACCCUGUGUGCCGGCGCCGCAAGGCGGAGGAUUAGCCUAGUGAGCCGCGGCGCCGGCUUAGUUGGAGGAUUUUAUAGUCAAAUUGGCUUAGAUGUAAAUGAGAGUAUUUAUGUAUAUAUAUAUGUGUGUGUAUAUGUAUAUAUAUGAUUCCUAAAACUCCUAGAAAUAAAGGAAACCAAGUUAUUGCAAAUGCAGGUUUAUAAAUCUUUGGUAAAUAUAAUAUAGUUUUAAUAAAAAUAGCUUUCUAAUGUCCACAUGCUGUAAAAUAAUUAGGAAGUUACUGAAAAUGAUGGCUCACUUUCUUAUUGUCAUUUCUGCCUAGAAUAAAAUCUGGAUCAUUUCAAGGUCAGGUAAACCACUAAAACAAUGAUUACUGAAUCUAAGUUUAUAUUUUCUAUUUGACAUUUGUUUCUGUAUGUUAGAGGAGCCAAAUAUAUUUGGGUGUCUUAGUAAACAUGAAAAAGUUUCCCAUGAGGAAGUAUAUUCCUCUAGAAAUUGCAGAUUCAAAUGUGUUUGCCAUUAAAUGCCAUUCCACAACUGAGUUAUAGACUGCGUGUGACUUCCCUUAAAUGCAUCUGUUGCUAUCUUCAGCCAUUGUGAUAGUUUGCAUUAUAUGGGCCUUUCAUAAAUGAUGUGAUCAUUCUUAGGGUAGAGCCCUUAUGUCCUUAAACAUUACCUGAUUCUGUUUUGUGUAGCCCUCAGCAAUUUCCACAAGUUAUCACAACUCUGAUUGUUUCCUUUCUUAGCAUAUUCUAGGAAACUUUUAUUGGUAAUCACAAGUAUUAAGAAUUACAUGAACAGGCCAGCGCUGCGGCUCAUUGGCUGGUCCUCUGCCUGCGGCACCGGUACUCCAAGUUCUAGUCCCGGCUGCUCCUCUUCCAGUCCAGCUCUCUGUUGUGGCCUAGGAAGGCAGUGGAGGAUGACCCGGGUGCUUGGGCCCUGCACCCGCAUGGGAGGUGGGGAGGUGCCUGGCUCCUGGCUUCGGAUCAGCACAUUGCGCAGGCCAUAGUGGCUGUUUGGGGGGUGAACCAAUGGAGGGAAGACCUUUCUCUCUGUCUCUCUCACUAUCUGGCUCUGCCUGUCAAAAAAAAAAAAAAAAAAAAAAAAGAA